GAUCUGGCAUGUGCGUGUUUAAAAAAACAUGGCAACAGCUUCUUGCAUUGCAGAGAUAAACCACAUCUUUAAUCAUGUUUUUUAGUUUUGCUUUGUCCUUGAUUUCUUCAUUAUGGUCGUUUGUUCCCUGGUAGGCUUUCUUGUUGGCUAUGUGAGCCACUGAGUUUUGUCUUACAGGAAGCUCUUUGAAUCUGCAUACCAUGUACAACAAAAACAACUUUAUUUUGCAAAAUCAACUUUAAAAUCUUUUUGAUUUGGCAUUUGGAAAUGAGUGGGAGCAGCUCCACCUAGCGGCAUGAUUGU